CUGCAAUUGCAAAUACGAGGACGAUGCCGAUAUGUCCGAUAGAGUCGUCAGUGCUUUCUGAACUCAGCAAAUCCUGUUAUGCACCAGAGAUGAAUUAUUGGAUAGAAUCCUUUCUAGAGGUGGAAAAUAUUCCGAAGAUGAUGCAAAGGAAGUCAUGGUUCAGAUAUUGAGUGUGGUUUCCUAUUGUCAUCUCCAAGGGGGGUUGUUCACCGUGACCUCAAGCCUGAGGUAAUGAACUCCAACAUUUUCAUUUAUGGCACAGUUGUUUAGCUUAUUUAAAAAGCUUAAUGCCCCGGAAAAUAUGACAUCUUGUAAGCCGUUACUUGAACUUCAACCCCCUCCUGGUCUCAGAUGCUUGAAGGGGAUUUCCAUCUUGUGUCAGUUUUACGUUUAACCUCUCCUUCUAUGGUGCUGCUUUAGCUAUUACAUUGUAAUAUAUGCUUUUGUUUAGUCAAGUACUUGCUUUGUCAAAAAUUGCAUCUCCGCGUUAGUUGUUUCUAAGCUACAUGGAUGUUGUUGGUUGUGCUCUCUUUUUAUCGUCAGCUUCUUUUAGUACAGAAACCUCAAAAUUAUGGAGGAUUUAAUAUUUUGCCUUGGGUACUUGAGUGAGAUAGGGAAAUAUACUAUCGAACCAGUUAUAGCAUUUACACAAAUAGCUGUAGCCUGUCGGAUAUACACCCCUGGGUUAUGAUCCGCUCGUGUUAUAUUUUAAGUAGCAUGAGAUUUCACUUUCAUGCUAUUGUACACUGAUUAUUAUGCCGUGAAUUGUCAACGUAAUUAAACUACUGCGACUUGGAUAGAAAAGCUUCUGUGUGACAAUAUA